UACUGAGCUCAGUGUUGAUCAGAUGUUCUC
rnacentral:piRNA from 1 species